UCUUCAUUUCACACACUCUCUCGAUCGGUUGAGGGACGAGAGAGUGUGUGAAAUGAAGAGA
rnacentral:pre_miRNA from 1 species